CCCUGUGUGGUGCAAAUGGUUAACACACUUGGCUUCUAACCAAAAGGUUGGCAGUUCUAGUCCACCCAGAGGCU
rnacentral:tRNA from 1 species